rnacentral:rRNA from 1 species
CCCGGUGGGAGGUACUCCCCGGAACUGGGGUUAAUUCUCGAUAGGUGAAGAUUCCUGGAAUGGGUUUUCGCCCAAAAGACGUUUAGGUCAUGCUUCUAGACGUUGCCCAAGGAUGGGGCCGCGGCCGAUCAGGCUGUUGGUGAGGUAAUGGCUCACCAAACCUUUGACCGGUUCGGGCCGUGGGAGCGGUAGCCCGGAGAUGGGCACUGAGACAAGGGCCCAGGCCCUACGGGGCGCAGCAGUCGCGAAAACUUCGCAAUAAGCGAAAGCUCGACGGGGCCAUCCCGAGUGCCAUCUGCUGAGGAUGGCUUUUACCCAGUAUAGAUAGCUGGGGGAAUAAGGAGAGGGCAAGUCUGGUGUCAGCCGCCGCGGUAAUACCAGCUCUCCGAGUUGUGGGGACGUUUAUUGAGCCUGAAGCAUCCGUAGCCGGCUGUGCAAGUCCUCUGUUAAAUCCAGCGAUAAAUCGUUGGCCUGCGGGGGAUACUGCUCGGCUAGGGGGCGGGAGAGGCCGUCGGUAUUCUUGGGGUAGGGGUGAAAUCCUAUAAUCCCAGGAGGACCACCAGUGGCGAAGGCUGUCGGCUAGAACGCGCUCGACGGUGAGGGAUGAAAGCUGGGGGAGCGAACCGGAUUAGAUACCCGGGUAGUCCCAGCUGUAAACGAUGCAGGCUAGGUGUUAGGGCGGCUACGUGCCGCUCUAGUGCCGCAGGGAAGCUGUUAAGCCUGCCGCUUGGGGAGUACGGCCGCAAGGCUGAAACUUAAAGGAAUUGGCGGGGGAGCAC